GGAUGUGAUCAUACCAGCACUAAAGCACCGGAUCCCAUCAGAACUCCGAAGUUAAGCGUGCUUGGGCGAGAGUAGUACUAGGAUGGGUAACCUCCAGGGAAGUCCUUUAGUUGCAUUCC
rnacentral:rRNA from 1 species